rnacentral:rRNA from 1 species
AGGACGAACGCUGGCGGCGUGCUUAACACAUGCAAGUCGAGCGGUAAGGCCUCUUCGGGGGUACACGAGCGGCGAACGGGUGAGUAACACGUGAGUAAUCUGCCCUUCACUUCGGGAUAAGCUUCGGAAACGGGGUCUAAUACCGGAUACGACACUUUCAGGCAUCUGAUGAGUGUGGAAAGUUUUUUCGGUGGGGGAUGUGCUCGCGGCCUAUCAGCUUGUUGGUGGGGUAAUGGCCUACCAAGGCUUCGACGGGUAGCCGGCCUGAGAGGGUGACCGGCCACACUGGGACUGAGACACGGCCCAGACUCCUACGGGAGGCAGCAGUGGGGAAUAUUGGACAAUGGGCGGAAGCCCUGAUCCAGCAACGCCGCGUGAGGGAUUGACGGCCUUCGGGUGGUAAACCUCUUUCAGUACCGACGAAGC